rnacentral:snRNA from 1 species
GUGCUUGCUUUGGCAGCACAUAUACUAAAACUGGAAGGAUACAGAGAAGAUUAGCAUGGCCCCUACACAGGGAUGAUANACAAAUUUGUGAAGCAUUCCAUAUUUUU